rnacentral:lncRNA from 10 species
UUUGGACCUUUUUAGUUGUAAUGGAGCCCAGCCCAGGCCUUUGAGGCAGGGAGCAGGGAAAUGGUGAAAGUCAAGUGACUCUUAGCUUGCGCUGUUGUCAUCCUCUCUGGACUAUUGCUACAUUUCUAGACUACUCUCAUUCUCAGCCCACGUAGGAAAUCAGAAGAUAAUUUAAAAUUAAAUAAUGAUGGCUCAGAGCUUAAAGCACUUAAAAAAGAGAAGAAAGAAAAGCAUCACAUCUUGACAGUGCUGGGAGUGAUGGUGGAAAGCUUGCCAAGGAGGCCCGGAAGAGUGGUUGGAAGGACCAUUAUUCAUAACAAAAACCAACUCAAAAUGGAUUAACGACUUAAACAUAAGGCUGGAAAUGGUAAAACUCCUUGAAGAAAACAUAGGAAAACGUGUCUUGACAUUGGUCUGGGCAACAAAUUUUUUUGGAUAUGACGACAAAAGCACAGGUAACAAAAUAGAUAAAUGA